rnacentral:tRNA from 1 species
GGCCCUAUCGUCUAACGGUUAGGACAGCAGAUUUUCAUUCUGCAAAUCAGAGUUCGAUUCUCUGUAGGGUCA